UCCGUAAUGGUCUAGUGGCUAGGAUUCCUCGCUUUCAUGCUGCAAAGCUGUCCCGAGGCGGCCGGGGUUCAAUUCCCCGUUACGGAA